ensembl:snoRNA SNORD115 Small nucleolar RNA SNORD115
GAGUAAAUGAUGACACCUAAACUUGUCUUGAAGAGAGAUAUAAAAACCAUGCUCAAUAGGAUUACCCUGAGGCCC